rnacentral:misc_RNA from 1 species
GUUCAUUCUCCAGUAUUUUCGUGGGUUUUCUUUUUCCUUUUUCAGUUUUCUCUCAUCUCUUUGCUACCUAUAGAUUUAAUUUGAUUGUUAUUUUGUUAGAUGCAGACAUCAAGAAUUUCAAUAGUCGGUCAAGAAGCUGAAGGAGAAGACAGAAGAACUGAAAGGGGUGAAAGAUGAGUUGAAAGUUAGGUAAUUUUAUGGCAUUAUUAUGUUCAUGCCUUGUGUGAUUUUAGCUUUUAUUAGUUAAUAGGCUGAGACAUACUUUUGUGUGUCAAUGGAGGGUUUGAGAUUGUGAAACGGUGAAUACAGAACGAAGUAGACAACUGAGAAGCUGUACAAACAUAUGCAUGGUGUUUGGAUAGAGGUUGAAGCUACAAUAAGAAAAGUUGUUUUUGCAAAUUGAUAUUCAGAUAUUAUAUAUGUCCGCAUUGAGUUUUGAGUAAUUCGUAUUUAGGUUAUAGAUAUAUUUCCAUUGAACACAAGAUCUACACAGUACACACUGGGAUGCCUUUCUUCUGGUUAUCUUCAAUAUGCUCUUUUGUGAUAUCCUAAGUUAUGGAACACAAAAUACGGACUAAAAUGCUUAGAAACACAUGCAUUUUACCUGUAUUUAUGUUGCUUUGGAUCCUAUUUGAUAUAAAAGAUAGCACUUUGACAACUGCUCCUGCUUCUGCUUCUGCCAGCAGUCAUAAUCCUUUAAUCUAGCAU